GCCUGACCCAGGGCUCUGGGGACAGGAAUAAGGCAUGAUUUCCAAAGCUUCAAAACAAGCACAGGAGUCUCACAACCGGCACAGUGCCCUGAGUGAGCAAGGGAAGAGGUGCUGAUGGAGGAGGUUGCCCAAGUCCCAGGAGGGGACAUCACUGGUGGUCCUGUGUCAGGUAGCAGACUGACUGACUGAUUUCACUGUUCUGAUGGCCUUGCAUCCAGGACUAUAUCUCUUAAGCUCCUUUUGCUUCACUUCCCUUUUCCCUUGAGAAGAUAUGAAGUCAGUAAAGGGUGGACGGCUUCUUGUCCAACUGUGAUUCAGGAGGAAGCUUAGCCACAAAACAGUCCAGAACUUGUGUUCCUGGGAGCUGGAUUGAAGCUGAAAGAGAAUGGUUAUGAUGGAUUGCUUGUUGCGAUCAAUCCUCGGGUACCGGAGGACUUGAAGCUGAUCAGAAACAUUCAGGAGAUGAUCACCGAAGCUUCCUUUUACCUGUUCAAUGCGACCAAGAGAAGGGUGUUUUUCAGAAGUGUACAGAUUCUAAUACCUGCCACUUGGACAGCGCAUAAUUACAGCAGGGUUA
rnacentral:lncRNA from 1 species